AACCUCCGCAAUGUGAGCAAUCGCGACGGGGGGAUCCCAAGUGCCAUUUUAACGGGUGGCUUUCUUAAGUACUUUUGGAUAAGGGCUGGCAAGACCGGUGCCUGCCGCCGCGGUAACACCGGCAGCUCUAGUGGUAGCCAUUUUUAUUGGGCCUAAAGCGUUCGUAGCCGGUUUGAUAAGUCUCUGGUGAAAUCCUAUAGCUUAACUGUGGGACUGCUGGAGAUACUAUUAGACUUGAGGUCGGGAGAGGUUAGCGGUACUCCCAGGGUAGGGUGAAAUCCUGUAAUCCUGGGAGGACCACCUGUGGCGAAGGCGGCUAACUGGAACGACCUGACGGUGAGGGACGAAAGCCGGGGGCGCGAACCGGAUUAGAUACCCGGGUAGUCCUGGCCGUAAACGAUGUGGACUUGGUGUUGGACAAUGCCGAAGGGAAGCUGUUAAGUCCACUGCCUGGGAAGUACGGUCGCAAGACUGAAACUUAAAGGAAUUGGCGGGGAGC
rnacentral:rRNA from 1 species